rnacentral:tRNA from 1 species
GGGGCAAUAGCUCAGCUGGGAGAGCGCUACAAUGGCAUUGUAGAGUUCACCGGUUCGAUCCCGGUUGGCUCCACCA